rnacentral:rRNA from 1 species
CUUCCGUAGGUGAACCUGCGGAAGGAUCAUUACCGAGUGAGGGCCCUCUGGGUCCAACCUCCCACCCGUGUUUAUUUUACCUUGUUGCUUCGGCGGGCCCGCCUUAACUGGCCGCCGGGGGGCUUACGCCCCCGGGCCCGCGCCCGCCGAAGACACCCUCGAACUCUGUCUGAAGAUUGUAGUCUGAGUGAAAAUAUAAAUUAUUUAAAACUUUCAACAACGGAUCUCUUGGUUCCGGCAUCGAUGAAGAACGCAGCGAAAUGCGAUACGUAAUGUGAAUUGCAAAUUCAGUGAAUCAUCGAGUCUUUGAACGCACAUUGCGCCCCCUGGUAUUCCGGGGGGCAUGCCUGUCCGAGCGUCAUUUCUGCCCUCAAGCACGGCUUGUGUGUUGGGCCCCGUCCUCCGAUCCCGGGGGACGGGCCCGAAAGGCAGCGGCGGCACCGCGUCCGGUCCUCGAGCGUAUGGGGCUUUGUCACCCGCUCUGUAGGCCCGGCCGGCGCUUGCCGAUCAACCCAAAUUUUUAUCCAGGUGACCUCGGAUCAGGUAGGGAUACCCGCUGAACUUAAGCAUAUCAAUAAGCGAAGAUCAUUACCGAGUGAGGGCCCUCUGGGUCCAACCUCCCACCCUGUUUAUUUUACCUUGUUGCUUCGCGGGCCGCCUAACUGGCCGCCGGGGGGGCUUACGCCCCGGG